AGAGUUUGAUCAUGGCUCAGGAUGAACGCUGGCGGCGUGCUUAACACAUGCAAGUCGAACGGGAAACCUUUUAUCGAAGCUUCGGCAGAUUUAGCUGGUUUCUAGUGGCGGACGGGUGAGUAACGCGUGGGUAACCUGCCUUAUACAGGGGGAUAACAACCAGAAAUGGUUGCUAAUACCGCAUAAGCGCACAGGACCGCAUGGUCCGGUGUGAAAAACUCCGGUGGUAUAAGAUGGACCCGCGUUGGAUUAGCUAGUUGGCAGGGUAACGGCCUACCAAGGCGACGAUCCAUAGCCGGCCUGAGAGGGUGAACGGCCACAUUGGGACUGAGACACGGCCCAGACUCCUACGGGAGGCAGCAGUGGGGAAUAUUGCACAAUGGGGGAAACCCUGAUGCAGCGACGCCGCGUGAAGGAAGAAGUAUCUCGGUAUGUAAACUUCUAUCAGCAGGGAAGAUAGUGACGGUACCUGACUAAGAAGCCCCGGCUAACUACGUGCCAGCAGCCGCGGUAAUACGUAGGGAGCAAGCGUUAUCCGGAUUUAUUGGGUGUAAAGGGUGCGUAGACGGGAAAACAAGUUAGUUGUGAAAUCCCUCGGCUUAACUGAGGAACUGCAACUAAAACUAUUUUUCUUGAGUGCUGGAGAGGAAAGUGGAAUUCCUAGUGUAGCGGUGAAAUGCGUAGAUAUUAGGAGGAACACCAGUGGCGAAGGCGACUUUCUGGACAGUAACUGACGUUGAGGCACGAAAGUGUGGGGAGCAAACAGGAUUAGAUACCCUGGUAGUCCACACCGUAAACGAUGGAUACUAGGUGUAGGGGAUGAAUAAUCCUCUGUGCCGUCGCAAACGCAGUAAGUAUCCCACCUGGGGAGUACGGCCGCAAGGUUGAAACUCAAAGGAAUUGACGGGGGCCCGCACAAGCAGUGGAGUAUGUGGUUUAAUUCGACGCAACGCGAAGAACCUUACCAGGGCUUGACAUAUAGAGGAAUAACUAAGAGAUUAGUUAGCUCUUCGGAGUCUCUAUACAGGUGGUGCAUGGUUGUCGUCAGCUCGUGUCGUGAGAUGUUGGGUUAAGUCCCGCAACGAGCGCAACCCCUGUUCUUAGUUGCCAGCACGUAGAGGUGGGAACUCUAAGAAGACUGCCGGUGAUAAAUCGGAGGAAGGUGGGGACGACGUCAAAUCAUCAUGCCCUAUAUGUCCUGGGCUACACACGUACUACAAUGGCUAUAACAAAGGGAAGCAAAACCGCGAGGUGGAGCAAAACCCAAAAAAGUAGUCUCAGUUCGGAUUGAAGGCUGAAAUUCGCCUUCAUGAAGCCGGAAUUGCUAGUAAUGGCAGGUCAGCAUACUGCCGUGAAUACGUUCCCGGGCCUUGUACACACCGCCCGUCACACCAUGAGAGUUGGGAAUACCCGAAGCCUGUGAGCUAACUGAAAAGAGGCAGCAGUCGAAGGUAGAAUCAAUGAUUGGGGUGAAGUCGUAACAAGGUA
rnacentral:rRNA from 1 species